CCUAUGGGUGGCAGCAGUGGGGAAUAUUGGACAAUGGGGGGAACCCUGAUCCAGCCAUGCCGCGUGUGUGAAGAAGGCCCUCGGGUUGUAAAGCACUUUCAGUGAGGAAGAACGCCUGGUGGUUAAUACCCAUCAGGAAAGACAUCACUCACAGAAGAAGCACCGGCUAACUCCGUGCCAGCAGCCGCGGUAAUACGGAGGGUGCGAGCGUUAAUCGGAAUUACUGGGCGUAAAGCGCGCGUAGGUGGCUUGAUAAGCCGGUUGUGAAAGCCCCGGGCUCAACCUGGGAACGGCAUCCGGAACUGUCAAGCUAGAGUGCAGGAGAGGAAGGUAGAAUUCCCGGUGUAGCGGUGAAAUGCGUAGAGAUCGGGAGGAAUACCAGUGGCGAAGGCGGCCUUCUGGACUGACACUGACACUGAGGUGCGAAAGCGUGGGUAGCAAACAGGAUUAGAUACCCUUGUAGUC
rnacentral:rRNA from 1 species